UCUGCGCGCUGAUCAACCGCAUUACGCCCUUGUCGCUUCCUCAAUCUUCCUCCUCCCCCACU
rnacentral:snoRNA from 1 species